UGGGGAUGACGUCAAAUCAUCAUGCCCCUUAUGUCUAGGGCUACACACGUGCUACAAUGGCUGGUACAACGAGCAGCGAACCCGCGAGGGGGAGCAAAACUUGAAAGCCAGUCCCAGUUCGGAUUGUAGGCUGAAACUCGCCUACAUGAAGUUGGAGUUGCUAGUAAUCGCGAAUCAGCAUGUCGCGGUGAAUACGUUCCCGGGUCUUGUACACACCGCCCGUCACACCAUGAGAGCCGGUAACACCCGAAGCCCGUGAGGUAACCGUAAGGAGCCAGCGGUCGAAGGUGGGAUUGGUGAUUGGGGUGAAGUCGUAACAAGGUAGCCGUAGGAGAACCUGCGGCUGGAUCACCUCCUUUCUAGGGAGA
rnacentral:rRNA from 1 species